rnacentral:rRNA from 1 species
GACGGGUGAGUAACACGUAGGCAACCUGCCCAAAAGAGGGGGAUAACACUUGGAAACAGGUGCUAAUACCGCAUAACCAUGAACACCGCAUGAUGUUCAUGUAAAAGACGGCUUUUGCUGUCACUUUUGGAUGGGCCUGCGGCGUAUUAACUUGUUGGUGGGGUAACGGCCUACCAAGGUGAUGAUACGUAGCCGAACUGAGAGGUUGAUCGGCCACAUUGGGACUGAGACACGGCCCAAACUCCUACGGGAGGCAGCAGUAGGGAAUCUUCCACAAUGGACGAAAGUCUGAUGGAGCAACGCCGCGUGAAUGAAGAAGGCCUUCGGGUCGUAAAAUUCUGUUGUCAGAGAAGAACGUGCGUGAGAGUAACUGUUCACGUAUUGACGGUAUCUGACCAGAAAGCCACGGCUAACUACGUGCCAGCAGCCGCGGUAAUACGAU